CGCCAGAUAGCUCAGUUGGUAGAGCAUCUGACUAGAAGUUCAGGGGUCCUGGUUUUGAAUCUAGGUCUGGUCU
rnacentral:tRNA from 1 species